GCCAGGUGUGGUGGCACAUGCCUGUAAUCCCAGCUACUUAGGAGGCUGAGACAGGAGAACUGCUUGAACCCAGGAGGCGGAGGUUGCAGUGAGCCGAGAUCAAGCCACUGCACUCCAGCCUGGGUGACAGAGUUGAGACUCCAACUCAAAAAAAAAAAAAAAAAAAAUACAAAAAUUGGCCAGGUGUGAGGGCAGACACCUAUAAUCCCAGCUACUCUGGAGGCUGAGGUUGCAGUGAGCCGAGGUCAAACCACUGCACUCCAGCCUGGGUGACAGAGCAAGACUCUGUCUCA
rnacentral:sRNA from 1 species